rnacentral:rRNA from 1 species
CAGCAGCCGCGGGAAUACGGAGGGUGCAAGCGUUAUCCGGAUUUAUUGGGUUUAAAGGGUCCGUAGGCGGACUUAUAAGUCAGUGGUGAAAGCCUGUCGCUUGACGAUAGAACUGCCAUUGAUACUGUAAGUCUUGAGUAUAUUUGAGGUAGCUGGAAUAAGUAGUGUAGCGGUGAAAUGCAUAGAUAUUACUUAGAACACCAAUUGCGAAGGCAGGUUACCAAGAUAUAACUGACGCUGAGGGACGAAAGCGUGGGUAGCGAACAGGAUUAGAUACCCCAGUAGUCCCUGUCUCUUAUAC